rnacentral:RNase_P_RNA from 2 species
AAUUUCUGGUAAUCGCGCACAAUUUAGAUUGUGUGAGGAAAGUCCAUGCUCGCACAGGCUGUGAUGCCUGUAGUGUUUGUGCUCGGCGAAAAAAUAAACCGGGGCACUAAUUUAUAAUUAGUGACGGCGGAAAAAAUAGCUAAGGUUUCGACUAUGCUAAAGUAUUCCUGAAAGUGCCACAGAGACGAUUCUAUUUAAGAAAUUAAAUAGGUGGAACGCGGUAAACCCCUCAAGCGGGAAACCCAAACAUAUGGUAGGGGAGCUCGACCUAGUGAACUGAAACGAUGGUCGUGUUAGUAACGUAGGUUGCUAGAAGAUAGAUGAUUACUGCUUCCAUGUUUUAGGCAUGAAAAAUAUGGAAGAACAUAACGUGGCUUAUAGAA